GGGCCGGUAGCUCAGCUGGUAGAGCACCUGACUUUUAAUCAGGUUGUCGCGGGUUCGACCCCCGCCCGGCUCA
rnacentral:tRNA from 1 species